UACGUAGGGGGCAAGCGUUGUCCGGAAUCAUUGGGCGUAAAGCGCGUGUAGGCGGCCCGGUAAGUCCGCUGUGAAAGUCGGGGGCUCAACCCUCGAAUGCCGGUGGAUACUGUCGGGCUAGAGUGCGGGAGAGGCGAGUGGAAUUCCCGGUGUAGCAGUGAAAUGCGUAGAGAUCGGGAGGAACAUCAGUUGCGAAGGCGGCUCUCUGGACCAGCACUGACACUGAGGCACGAAAGCGUGGGGAGCAAACAGG
rnacentral:rRNA from 1 species